GGGGGUAACAAAGCUCUUGGAAAAGCAGAGGCUAGAGGAAGGCAGUUGACCCAACUUCUUGCUCUUGCACACAAGACAAUGGAUUCCUUAUUUGAGGGUGUUGUGGAAAAAGAGGCAUAUACACACACCAGAGAGUGCACUUUGAAUGCUCCUCCUAUAAACUUUGAAGGCAAUGAUGGUACUGACACUGUAUGUGGAUUUCUUGCUGCUCUGACACGCUUGGGCAACAUCUUGAAGUUUAUUUCACAGAUGCUACAUCUGAGGGUAAUGAAUGUAUAUCUGUAGUGCCAUAUCAUACUCUAAGCCCAAUAUUUAGAUUAUUACAGGUAGACAGCAGAGUUCUGAAAGCUUAUCGAAGUCAAGAACACCAGAUACUUUCUUUCCUUAUCGUUUCGAUACAUCAUCAUUGCCUGUGGUUGCUGAGAGAUAUGAUAAUGAGGUUAGUUUAGUAGGUAAUAAGGUAUCAGAUAUCUUGGUUUUAAGGAGCAGAACUUUUUUUGUACAACCUUAUUCCUUAUAUCACAGCCUCUCUUGCAUAGUGGAAUCCCAGGCAUAUUAACUUCCUAGCAGUAAGUUUGGUAGCACCUGGAAGGUCUGCUAACACUGGAACAAGUUCUGCUGCUGGAAAACCUCUUACCUGAGGUUUUACUAAAUAACCUCCAUGUAGGGGGAUAGCAUGUCCAGGUUCCUAUGAACAUGGCAAAAAUGUGUCUGGUGAGGUUUCCCCCAACUGGGAAGAAUCCCAGAGGAAUCUACUCUUAGAUAUAUAAGAUCCAUAAACCUUGUUCUACUUUGGCCAGAGAGAUGCUAGUACUAUCAUGGAGCAAUGCUGAGAGUGCUGAACAGUGUCUACUACCUCCCAGUUGUUGAAACCAGUCUAUUUGAUGUUGUACAACGGUACAAGCCUCUGUCCCUUUCAGCAUACAACAUGACUACGGUGGCACAUUAAAGACAUCAAGUGCAGGGGUUUUCACAGUUGUGUUGGAUACCCCUUGUAGACUUGUUUGCAACCAGCUUCGGUCACAAGGCGGCCUUGAUUUACAACACAAAGGCUGGGCAUUACAUUGGGUUCUUAUGGUUAAGGUUGGAAAAAUGUAUACAGGGGGCACUCCACCAAACUG